CGUGGUAUGAGCAUAAGCUGGGACUUUAGUUCCAGAUAAAUUUACUUGGAAGUAAGUGCUGCUGAUUUCAAUGGUACUUCAAAGAAGCUCCAUAACUGCCACCUUGCCAGUGAAAUGAAGCAGAAAGAAUGACAGAAUCUCCCUGGUCAACUGAUCAUCUCUUUGAUGUUAUCAACUGGAUUUUGCCAAGCAUACGACAUUUUUGGGAUGGCAAAAAAGACAUUAACCAUGUAUCAAAAGUCAAUGCUGUUAAAAAACUGCAGCUAGACCGAGGAUGAAGAGAAAAAGGCUGGUCUGGACUGAUGCAAAAGAAGCCUUUGUAAAAAGAAGCUUUGCUGUUAGACACUCUUAAUUGAGGUAAGUCUGUAAUUGACUUGGAACUUGAACAAAGGAUGUUCCCCAUGGAAGUAUCCAGGCAUAGUUGAAGAUUCUUGAUUGUGUUAGUUCCAAAUCUACACUGGAAGGUAAAAAAAU
rnacentral:lncRNA from 11 species